AUUGAACGCUGGCGGAAUGCUUUACACAUGCAAGUCGAACGGCAGCACGGACUUCGGUCUGGUGGCGAGUGGCGAACGGGUGAGUAAUGUAUCGGAACGUGCCCAGUCGUGGGGGAUAAUGUAGUGAAAAUUACGCUAAUACCGCAUACGAUCUAUGGAUGAAAGCGGGGGAUCGCAAGACCUCGCGCGAUUGGAGCGGCCGAUAUCAGAUUAGGUAGGUGGUGGGGUAAAGGCCCACCAAGCCAACGAUCUGUAGCUGGUCUGAGAGGACGACCAGCCACACUGGAACUGAGAAACGGUCCAGACUCCUACGGGAGGCAGCAGUGGGGAAUUUUGGACAAUGGGCGAAAGCCUGAUCCAGCCAUUCCGCGUGCAGGAUGAAGGCCCUCGGGUUGUAAACUGCUUUUGUACAGAACGAAAAGGUUUCUACUAAUACUAGGAGCUCAUGACGGUACUGUAAGAAUAAGCACCGGCUAACUACGUGCCAGCCGCCGCAGUAA
rnacentral:rRNA from 1 species